CUGGUUCACUUCAGUAGGGAUGGCACUGGGUCCAAGAGGUCAAAGAAAAGACCCAAAGACAGCAAAUGAGGCAUAGGGCUUGUUGGGGGACUUAUAUACAGGGAUGGCCCCAUGGCAGUGGACUGGACAGGAGAACCACUACUGUUUGUAAAAAAGCAUGCAGUUUGUAUAGCAUUUUUAUUUAGCCACCUCCAUCUAGCAAGCCCCACCUAGCACCCUCUAUCUAAUCCAAAACAAAGGGCCUUAAUUCCCUAUAUAACCUGCAUUCCAAGGGAUGGGUCAGAGGGUCAGAUGUCCUUCAUAGAUAAGGAAUGAAUCUCAGGGUUGGCCACUCCAGGAUUCCUUGGCUUGGGACUCCAAACACAUAUUCUUCUUAGACCAUAGGGUCAUUUUCAGGGUAUGCUUAAGCUAUGUUACUGCUGUCAAGGGCUGUCAUAAACUUCCAAUUGUUCAAAUAAUUAAUUGGGAGACUAUUCAUGAUCAGUUGAAGUAUCUCCAGAGCCCUGUGUUCUUAUGUAAGCAAACAGAAACCCAACUCAGUAUAAAUAGUAAAACAAAACUUAAGCUUAACCCGUCAGAAAUCACCAACUAACCUCUAACUAGGGACUUUCCACUGGAACAACCCAAAAAAGGCUACUGCUUCACUUUAACCAAUCAAAUAUUUUCCUUGCCUUAUCUCCGUGUUCACCUUAUUUAAAAAGUCUUCCCCUAAUGCCCUUUGGUGAAGCCCUGAGCAACAUGUGGUCUGGUACUGCUAGAUUCAUGAGUCCCCAUCUGCUCAGAAUUCAAGAUGGGAUCUCUGCUCUUAGCAUCAAGACCCUUUUUGAUGAAUGCAAAUGGUGGCUGACAGAAUGUGACUCAGAGGAAAGACUGACAGUCUACAUCAGUCUCCUGAUUUACAGCACAUUUAACUCUCCUGAGUCAACACAAAGAAAAAGAAACAGGAUAUUAGUAACGAGAAGAAAAGCCAUGUGAAUCCAUAGGGAGAAGGCAGCUGUCUGCAUACCAGGAGGAGAGCUCCCACCCGAACCCAACCAUAGUGCCACCCUGAUCUUGUACUUCCAGCCUCUCAGCUGUGAGAAAAUAAAUGUCUGUUGUUUAAGA
rnacentral:lncRNA from 10 species